UUUAUAUCGAAAAUGUGUCAACUAACAUGCUUAUAAACACUCAAGACAUGUGGACGGGUUGUUUGAUUAAUUUGUGUGUGUGUGUGUGUGUGUGUGCUUUUGCAGUCUCGUGUUGUCAUGGCAACCCCUUGGUGGUCUAUCGGAGAACAAACUGCGGUCAACACUAUCAGUAGUACCUUAGCCUUAGAGGCUCACUCUGUGUACACACGUGUUGUCAAACUUUUCAUGUCACUAUGUGUAAAUCAUUAAAUAAGAUACAGAGCUGUUCCUGCACUAACACAGUUAUUUCCCUCUGUUUCUCUCUCUCUCUCUCCAGGGAAACCAGAUCCUGAGCGGCCUCUCCCUGGAUGAGUACAAGACCACUCUGAAGAUGAUCGAGAGGGCUAUUCUGGCCACUGACCUGGCCCUGUACAUGAAGAAGCGUGGAGAGUUCUUUGAGCUCACCAAGAACAGCCAGUUUGUUUGGGAAGACGAACAUCACAGAGACUUAUUGAGGUCAAUGCUGAUGACUGCAUGCGACAUCUCAGCCAUCACAAAGCCCUGGCCAGUGCAAAAAAGGGUAAAAGAUGAAUUUAUGUGUGUUGGAUGAAAUUACAAUUUUGGUCUUCUUCCCUUACUUGUGGUUGCUGUAGCCAGUUUCUGUAGGACAUAUGACAACUUUCUUUCUCAUUCAUCAUUAGCCAUUCAAUGGUAUUCAUCCUUACGCAUCAUUGAAAACAACUGCCAGAGAACAAGAGAAUCAGUGGCAUGAGUAGGAAGUACUCAUUUGGUUUUGUCUGCUUGGUCUGUUUAUUGUGGCAGUAUGCUCUGUUUACUGUCAAUCACUUGACACAUAAAAGCAUUUAUUUAUCAUUUAUUGCUAUGAUGAAAAUGUUCUUGUCUAAGUCUGUGUAUGAGGAUUGAGUUUUAUUAUUUAUAAUUUUGUUUAUUUGGAAUUCGUUCUGGGUUUCCGCUGUUGGGUUACUUGCAUUAAUGAUUUUGAGUCGGUUGAUUUGUUGUUCCAGUUCAGCUUCUUGUUCUUUUUUUUGUAAACGGAGAAUGAGAUGAUUAUUCCUCUUAAAUCUGCUUUCCCUGUUUCCCACAGAAGGGUUGGUGAUGACUCUGGGGAAUCAUUUAUUUCUAAGAAGGACGCCCACUCUUUUUUAAUGAGACUGUCAAACUGAGGGUCUUUGAGAAGAGAUGUAUUGAAGCGCCAUCUAGUGAUGUAGGGUAAUUCUGUUCCAUAUAAAUGUUACAGGAGCAUGGUCGCUGAUAAUGAUAGGAUGGAUCUUCGAGUCUGAAAUAUUAGAUAUGAUUGAAUUGCUGUUGAGGAAGAAGUCAAUGCGUGAGUAUGAGUGGUGAACCGGUGACAAGAAUGGGUAUUCUCUUGAGUUUGGGUGAUGUAAUCGCCAACUAUCGCCAAGACCAAAAUCGCUCAUGAACUGUUUUAUUGUUUCUGUGGAUUACCAGGUCCACAGUAUGCUUAUUAUUUGUAAUAUUAGAUACAGUAUGUCUACUGAUGGGUCGAUAACUGUGGCCUCCUAUUAGGACUGGGCAGUUGCAAAUGUUUGAGAAGGAGGAAAAACAAUUGUGAAAAAAGGAUGGGUCAUCAGUGUUUGGGCCAUAAACAUUACAGAUUGUGACUGGACUAUGAUGGAUAUGUUUAUAAUGAUAAAACGUCCUUCAGGAUCGGUGAUGGUGAAGUUAUGGACAAAUUCAAUUUUUUUGUUAAUUAAAAUACAUACCCCUCUUUGUUUUGUGUUGUAGUGAGCUGAGAAUGACUGAGUGAAUUGUGGUGAUUUAAAUUAGUUGUGGUCUGAUUCUGAGAGGUGUGUUUCUUGUAUUAAGCAUAUAUCUGCUUGCAGUUUAGCAAGAUGAUUGAGAACUUUUAUUUUCUUUGCCUGAGAACCAAUUCCAUGGAUAUGCCAGGUUAAGAAUUUGAUAGAUGACAUGUUGAUUGGGUUAAUAUAGACUGAACAUUAAUGUUGAUAUGUGUGUGUGUGUGUGUGUGUGUGUGUGUGUAAAUGACACAGCAGCACCUGCAGACACUGAAUCAGGGAAAACAAACACAACAAAGAAAGUAAAACAAUACACAAAACAAAAAUGCAAGGGAGUGUGUGGUCCAGAUCGGGGUUCAUACUGUCUGGUACAGCGAGAUGUAGGUGCAAUACUAUACAGUAUAAUAAUCAAAACAGUGCAAUGCGGAGAAAAGAGAAGGGGGCAUACCUAGACUAUGGAGGGCGGUUUUCCGUGUCUUGAAAUUUUUUCCGUAGUCUUGAGGUUGAAAUUUUCAAUUUUCAACUUCCAACCUCCAAGUGUUCCAGGCCAA